rnacentral:rRNA from 1 species
ACGGCUCAGUAACACGUGGACAAUCUGCCCUUGGGUCUGGGAUAACUCCGGGAAACUGGAGAUAAUACCAGAUAGGUCAUAGAUGCUGGAAUGCUCUAUGGCCCAAAGCUCCGGCGCCCAAGGAUGAGUCUGCGGCCUAUCAGGUUGUAGUGGGCGUAAUGGACCCACUAGCCUACGACGGGUACGGGUUGUGAGAGCAAGAGCCCGGAGAUGGAUUCUGAGACAUGAAUCCAGGCCCUACGGGGCGCAGCAGGCGCGAAACCUUUACAAUGCGCGCAAGCGCGAUAAGGGGACCUCGAGUGUUCCUACCUAGUAGGAACUGUCCAGUUGUCUAAAAAACAACUGUUAGCAAGAGCCGGGCAAGACCGGUGCCAGCCGCCGCGGUAACACCGGCGGCUCGAGUGGUGACCGCUUUUAUUGGGUCUAAAGGGUCUGUAGCCGGUCUAACAAGUUCUUUGGAAAAUCUGGUCGCUUAACGAUCAGGCUGCUAGGGGAUACUGUUAGACUUGGGACCGGGAGAGGCUAGAGGUACUUUAGGGGUAGGGGUGAAAUCCUGUGAUCCUUAAAGGACCACCAGUGGCGAAGGCGUCUAGCUAGAACGGAUCCGACGGUGAGGGACGAAAGCUGGGGGCACGAACCGGAUUAGAUACCCGGGUAGUCCCAGCCGUAAACGAUGCGAGCUAGGUGUCAGUUUUACUGCGAGUAAAAUUGGUGCCGUAGGGAAGCCGUGAAGCUCGCCACCUGGGAAGUACGGCCGCAAGGCUGAAACUUAAAGGAAUUGGCGGGGGAGCACUACAACGGGUGGAGCCUGCGGUUUAAUUGG